GGCUCCAUAGUGUAGUGGUUAGCACGUCUGCUUUACAUGCAGAAGGUCCUGGGUUCCCACCCCAAGUGGAGCCA
rfam:Pteropus alecto contig29028, whole genome shotgun sequence.